rnacentral:rRNA from 1 species
GACGAACGCUGGCGGCGUGCUUAACACAUGCGAGUCGAACGGAAAGGCCCUGCUUUUGUGGGGUGCUCGAGUGGCGAACGGGUGAGUAACACGUGAGUAACCUGCCCUUGACUUUGGGAUAACUUCAGGAAACUGGGGCUAAUACCGGAUAGGAGCUCCUGCUUCAUGGUGGGGGUGGGAAAGUUUCGGCGGUUGGGGAUGGACUCGCGGCUUAUCAGCUUGUUGGUGGGGUAGUGGCUUACCAAGGCUUUGACGGGUAGCCGGCCUGAGCGGGUGACCGGCCACAUUGGGACUGAGAUACGGCCCAGACUCCUACGGGAGGCAGCAGUGGGGAAUAUUGCACAAUGGGCGGAAGCCUGACGCAGCAAAGCCGCGUGCGGGAUGACGGCCUUCGGGUUGUAAACCGCUUUCGCCUGUGACGAAGCGUGAGUGACGGUAAUGGGUAAAGAAGCACCGGCUAACUACGUG